CACGCAGAUACGGAAAUGUAUCUGUGGUGUAUCCGAUUUUGUUGCCAACUUCCUUGUUGAUUGUCACCUCAGAAAUCCUUGUCAUGGAUCUUACAGUGGGGGGUGGGACUUUUUAUGUUGAAGGGCUUCUAGUUUGAAUCAGUUGGACUUCUUAUUCUUUUGAAUUGUCUAUGAAAGUAGUUCAAACUUUAACAACUGCGAUGGAAAAUAAAUGUAAUUAUUUUAACAAUAAAAUGUAUUGGUAGUACUUUAAGCCAUGGCUUAGCAUUAUUAAACUUUGUAUUCUGCGUAUUAACAACUGUAUCAUAUUAUGACUGAUCUAAGAAACAGCAAUCUACCUUUGAAAUCACCAACUGGACUAAAGCAGAGGGGCUCUCCAAGGCAACAGCAAAUCAAUACUGCCCUCAUGAGGCCAAGAUGCAUAAAGUCAUGUAACAGUGUAUAUAAACCCAUUUAAGAACCUGCAUGCUUUGUACAUAGUACCAUUCACUAAACAUGCUGUAAAUUAAUCUAUUUACAGAUAGGUGAUUAACUUUUGGUGAAGCCUUUUUUUCCUGAAUAUAUGAAUAAAAGAAGCACUAGAUUAAG